rnacentral:rRNA from 1 species
GGGAAUCUGCCCCUUGGUUCGGAAUAACCGUUGGAAACGACGGCUAAUACCGGAUGAUGACGUAAGUCCAAAGAUUUAUCGCCGAGGGAUGAGCCCGCGUAGGAUUAGGUAGUUGGUGUGGUAAAGGCGCACCAAGCCGACGAUCCUUAGCUGGUCUGAGAGGAUGAUCAGCCACACUGGGACUGAGACGCGGCCCAGACUCCUACGGGAGGCAGCAGUGGGGAAUAUUGGACAAUGGGCGAAAGCCUGAUCCAGCAAUGCCGCGUGAGUGAUGAAGGCCUUAGGGUUGUAAAGCUCUUUUACCCGGGAUGAUAAUGACAGUACCGGGAGAAUAAGCUCCGGCUAACUCCGUGCCAGCAGCCGCGGUAAUACGGAGGGAGCUAGCGUUAUUCGGAAUUACUGGGCGUAAAGCGCACGUAGGCGGCUUUGUAAGUUAGAGGUGAAAGCCCAGAGCUCAACUCUGGAAUUGCCUUUGAUACUGCAUCGCUUGAAUCCAGGAGAGGUGAGUGGAAUUCCGAGU